rnacentral:rRNA from 1 species
GCUUGGCCCUAAACAUCGGAAGUCUACAACACACCCCGCCUGAGAAUUACAAGCAAAAGCUUUAAACUCAAAGGACUUGGCGGUGCCCCACACCACCCUAGAGGAGCCUGUCCUAUAAUCGAUACCCCACGUUAAACCUCACCACGUUUUGCAACCCCCCCAGCCUAUAUACCGCCGUCGUAUGUUUACCCCAUGAGGGAGUAUAAGUAAACACAACAGUAACAUACUAAAACAUCAGGUCAAGGUGUAGCUAACAAAGUGGAAGAGAUGGGCUACAUUUUCUACAACAGAACAUACGACAAAUACAAUGAAAUACUGCAUUACAAGGUGGAUUUAGCAGUAAACUAAGGCAAGAAUGCCAACUUUAACCCUGCUCUGGAGCGCGCACACACCGCCCGUCACCCUCAUCAAAACAAAUAUAAACCAUCCAUAAAACAAUAUUACCAACACAAAGAAUGGGUA